UACGGAGGGGGCUAGCGUUGUCCGGAAUCAUUGGGCGUAAAGAGCGUGUAGGCGGUCCGGUAAGUCCGUUGUGAAAGUCAGGGGCUCAACCCUUGAAUGCCGGCGGAUACUGUCGGGCUAGAGUCCGGCAGAGGCAAGUGGAAUUCCCGGUGUAGCGGUGAAAUGCGCAGAUAUCGGGAGGAACACCUAUGGCGAAGGCAGCUUGCUGGGACGGUACUGACGCUGAGACGCGAAAGCGUGGGGAGCAAACAGG
rnacentral:rRNA from 1 species